rnacentral:rRNA from 1 species
UACGUAGGGUGCAGGCGUUAAUCGGAAUUACUGGGCGUAAAGCGUGCGCAGGCGGUUUCUUAAGUCAGAUGUGAAAGCCCCGGGCUUAACCUGGGAACUGCGUUUGAAACUGGGAGACUUGAGUGUGGCAGAGGGGGGUGGAAUUCCACGUGUAGCAGUGAAAUGCGUAGAUAUGUGGAGGAACACCGAUGGCGAAGGCAGCCCCCUGGGUUAAUACUGACGCUCAUGCACGAAAGCGUGGGGAGCAAACAGG